GGGUGUGCACCAAUACCUGGUGCAGUUCCACUGUGAGAUAUAGUAAGGGGGAGAGUGUCUCUCUGGAGAGCUGCAGAGAAGUGCAGUGAUAUUUGUGUACCUUUAUGUGUUUUGAAUCCCAGUCACACCCCAGAAGAGUAAGGGUCCAACUUAAUUUUGUUUUCUUUAAAAAUGACUGUAUUUGCCACCAGGGUGAAACUGCAUUGAUGUUUAUAAAGUGCAGUAAAAAAACAGAUUAAACUGAAAUUUGAAGUUACUUUCUCCCAUCUGCCUUGACUCUUCCAAUACCAAUAUGGUGUUUUGAUGGUGAUUGGGGAUUGUUUGUACAGGCAGAAUAUCUACAGAUUAAGUGGGAUGGUGCAAGCCAGAUGGAGGAGCCAUGCUAGACAAGGCCAAGCAACUUGAGAGUUGGUUGCUGGAAAGGAGACAUGAGAGUACAGCCCAGUCAUCUUCAGCAAAGAUCCCACAGGUCCAGCGCACCCCAAUACAUGUUGUGAAUGUUCCAGAAACAACAGGCCAAAGUCAGUAAAUGUCCUAUCUACAAAUACUCAUGAUACCCUAUCAAAGGCUUUUUCAGCAUCUGUGGGACAAACCCUGCCUGUUCUGGAUGAAUCAGAAACGUAACACCAACUUGGCCUGUGGGAAAGAAGAAAAAAAAAUAGCAACCACAAAUCAGUAUCUGAAGAGCCAAUGUAACACUUGUUUGAGAGACACAUACCGUUCUUUGGCAGUGCACUAAUGGACCGUGGAUUUUCCGUUAAGAGACAUUGCCUGAGCUUGCAUCUAUAUUAAACAUUUCUCAAGUACCAACAAGCAGCAAUAAUGUGAAAAUACUGGUGGAGCCUUUCUGCUGCAUAGUCUGGUACCUCUGUGUAGUAUUUAUUAUGGCAUGGUAUUGUGCUGCUUCUGUAAUUCAUCUUUUUUUUCCUUUUUUGUUGGAAGCACUCAAUUUUCCUGCUUGUGCACAGUCUGGUAAACAGUCCUAUGUUUUCCUUCUUGGUAUGUUAUUUACAUUGUUACUCUAUAUUUCACUAUUUCCUCUCUUAUUUUACCAUCAUUUUUCUUUUAAUAUGAGUUAAAAUUGCCUUUGUUAUCUCUUUGUCAUGCUUUGUUCUGGCCUUACUUAUAUAAAUGAUCUCCGUGACAAAUGUAAACAUUAUUCAGUUUUUGUAUCAAAUUGAGUUUUGGGCCUCAUUGGAAGACUGAUAGAAGCCUGCCUCACAUCAAACUGGUAAAUGUUAGACAUAUUUUUAAAGUCAUUAAGAGAAUCUGCCAUCAUAACACCACCAGACAGUGAAUUUCAUUCAAAUAACUAGGCACUUCUUAUAGUCUAAAGGGGUGGCCUCUUAUGGGGAAAACAUCCUCACUAUUUGUUUUAAAUGACAUAUCGCCAGCAAGAUAAGACAAAGACAUAAUUUCUCUUUUACCUUAGUUGGAGCUUUGGCAUGACACAAUAUGGUUCCAGGGUUUAAGGGCAAUACAUUACACUCUUGGAUGCCCAUCUUAAAGGUCAGUGAAUCCAGGAUAUUUGUAGUGCACUAAUUCAGAUAUACUUGGUUUGAUAGGCUCAUACAACAAUGAUUUCUUAAAUAGGUAAACUUGUUGCCACCUAAGGAUUGGGUCUUGAAUGGGGCUUGAACUUAAACUGCUAUGCUAGGGACUGUUGUGCUAGUUUUCUGUCAGAGGCACUGGACUUUUUUGAUUAGAAACCUUUUUUUGAGUAGAAACCUUGAAAUUAAAUUGCAUGACCCAUAAUACUUUCCGAUCCUUUGCAUUAAUUCGGCUGCAGGGAUUUUGUUACAGAAGUGGAUCAAUAGUGGGUUAAUCCUGCUCUACAGAGCAUCAGGUGGUGGACCUCUGGAUGUAAGGGCCUGAUUGGGGAAAGUGCAGAACUCAAGAGACAAAAUUUCAGAUGCAAAGGCAACUGCUGGAUUUGGGAGCUUAAUCCUACUGCAAGAGGCUCAAUAAGGAAACAGAGGAACUGAUAAAGGAGCACCUAUUAGACUAUAUGACAUUGUCCCAGCAAAUAAAGGCACUAGCAGUGAGAGAGCUGAGAGCAGUUAUUAUGAAAAAACUAUUCUCUUUGUGAUUAUAAGAGUAUAUUUCAAUGGUGAAGAGUAGAUUUUUUAAUUGCUUGUUCUCUUUUAAUCUUUUGCUAAUAACCAUCACAUCCUGGAGGUAAAACACUGGUAGGUCUUGGUAGAGGGCCAGAGCCUGGGAAUACCUCUCUGCAGGGGGUUGCUAAAAAUACAAUGUAUUCAAAACAUGAAAAAAAGCAACUGUAUUGUAAGUUAACAGAGCACUAGUUAAAAAUGUGUUCAAAUAGCCUACAAAAAAAAUGCUUCAUACAGUAAGAGAACCAGAAUGUUUCAAAAUGUUUUCCAAAGUAUGAUGAAUGAAUGUCUCAGUACAAAAGGUGUAGCAAUACACUGAAAACUAUUAAACAUUUUCUCAUUAAAA